rnacentral:rRNA from 1 species
AACGAACGCUGGCGGCAUGCCUAACACAUGCAAGUCGAACGAAGCCUUCGGGCUUAGUGGCGCACGGGUGCGUAACACGUGGGAAUCUGCCCUUUGGUUCGGAAUAACAGUUAGAAAUGACCGCUAAUACCGGAUAAUGACGUAAGUCCAAAGAUUUAUCGCCGAAGGAUGAGCCCGCGUAGGAUUAGGUAGUUGGUGGGGUAAUGGCCCACCAAGCCGACGAUCCUUAGCUGGUCUGAGAGGAUGAUCAGCCACACUGGGACUGAGACACGGCCCAGACUCCUACGGGAGGCAGCAGUGGGGAAUAUUGGACAAUGGGCGAAAGCCUGAUCCAGCAAUGCCGCGUGAGUGAUGAAGGCCUUAGGGUUGUAAAGCUCUUUUACCAGGGAUGAUAAUGACAGUACCUGGAGAAUAAGCUCCGGCUAACUCCGUGCCAGCAGCCGCGGUAAU